GGCGGCGGCAGUUGGGCGUCAGCGGACUUGGCAGCGGGGACGUUGGCGGCAGCGGCCCCUCAGAGCCUGGACCCUGGUGAGGGCGCCGACCCCGGUCGUGUGUGGCAGGCGACAGUCGCGGGCGCUGAGCAGGGACCAGACUCCGCUCGCGCUCCUCGUCCUGAACGCGCUGACUGACUGGAAGGUGUCGCCGCCCCGCGUGCCCCCUGAGGAGGAUGUGCAGGGAGUCUUGAACAAGGUGGGGCUGACAGACCAUUACGAGCCCCAAUGCACUUCCAAGGAGGAAGUGGGCUCCUGGGAAGACUGUGCAGAAGACAAGACACAGCUUGUGGGCGGAGUCCGCACAGUGGACCCUCAGGAGACAGAGCUCAGUGGCGCCUCAACCAAACCCGGAAGUCUUGUUCUUCCAGCUUCUGGAUCCUGGGCCCAGUCUGUGCUGACUCAGCAGGCCUCAGUGUCUGGGAAUCUGGGCCAGAGGGUCACCAUCUCCUGCACUGGAAGCAGCUCCGACAUCAGUGAUUAU
rnacentral:lncRNA from 1 species